rnacentral:rRNA from 1 species
CCAGGGUUAUUCGGAGGGCGCAAGCGCCCCUCGGAAUCACUGACGGUAAAAAGCGCGUAGCGGGAUAGUCAGUCAGGUGUGAAAUCAUAUGGCUUAACCAUAGGCUGCAUUUCAAGGGCUAUUAUAGAGUGUGGGACAGGUAGGUGUAAUUCUUGGUGUAGCGGUAAAAUCCCGUACAGGUCAANNNGAAAACUCAUUUUCAAGUUGACCUGCUGGAACUUUACCCCCGCUCAANGAGUGCAAGCGUCGNUACCCCACAUUAAUAAAAGNNGUUGUAAACCCCGUCCUAUGGUAAAGCCGUUAGUUUUUGGACCCGGUUAGUCUUAUCCAGCAAAGGAGCUCUUGCCGUCCGGUAUCCCAAGU